rnacentral:rRNA from 1 species
UGGGGAAUAUUGCGCAAUGGGCGAAAGCCUGAAGCAGCGACGCCGCGUGAGGGAUGAAGGUUUUCGGAUCGUAAACCUCUGUCUGAAGGGAAGAAACCGCACUGUGCUAAUCAGCAGUGCCUUGACGGUACCUUCAAAGGAAGCACCGGCCAACUCCGUGCCAGCAGCCGCGGUAAUACGGAGGGUGCAAGCGUUAAUCGGAAUUACUGGGCGUAAAGUGCACGUAGGCUGCUUUGUAAGUCAGGGGUGAAAUCCCACGGCUCAACCGUGGAACUGCCUUUGAUACUGCUUAGCUUGAAUGCGGGAGAGGGUGGCGGAAUUCCAGGUGUAGGGGUGAAAUCCGUAGAUAUCUGGAAGAACAUCAGUGGCGAAGGCAGCCACCUGGACCGGUAUUGACGCUGAGGUGCGAAAGCGUGGGGAGCAAACAGG